CCCAUCUAGCAACAUUGUAUAGGUCAUGUCGAAUUCACGUGGCUACUGCUGGUUUCUUGACGGUUAUUGCGAAGAGAAACAAUAAAUAGGUGAAUUACAGUAACUUUUGUUAAUUUAUAUGACGAUAAUUUUACGCAGUAUUCGAAAGAGCAUAAAUUUCACUGGUAGGCAUAUUUUCCAAAACAAACAAAAAAUAUGUGAAAUUUUUAUCUCGAAAGAAAAGUUCACAAAACUCGCUAGCAAACGAGACGCAAUACAAAAAAACGUAUAAGAUUUCAGAAUAAGAAGAUAAUACGUAGCCUGACCAGAAAGAAAAAGGGAGAAAA
rnacentral:lncRNA from 13 species